UAAUACAUGCAAGUGGAACGCAUUGGUACACCGGACUUGCUCCAGUGUUACUAAUGAGUCGCGAACGGGUGAGUAACGCGUAGGUAACCUGCCUGAUAGCGGGGGAUAACUAUUGGAAACGAUAGCUAAUACCGCAUAAGAGGAGUUAACUCAUGUUAACUGUUUAAAAGAAGCAACGGCUUCACUAUCAGAUGGACCUGCGUUGUAUUAGCUAGUAGGUAGGGUAACGGCCUACCUAGGCAACGAUACAUAGCCGACCUGAGAGGGUGAACGGCCACACUGGGACUGAGACACGGCCCAGACUCCUACGGGAGGCAGCAGUAGGGAAUCUUCGGCAAUGGACGCAAGUCUGACCGAGCAACGCCGCGUGAGUGAAGACGGUUUUCGGAUCGUAAAGCUCUGUUGUAGGGGAAGAACGUGUGUAAGAGUGGAAAGCUUACACAGUGACGGUACCCUACCAGAAAGGGACGGCUAACUACGUGCCAGCAGCCGCGGUAAUACGUAGGUCCCGAGCGUUGUCCGGAUUUAUUGGGCGUAAAGGGAGCGCAGGCGGUUUAGUAAGUCUGAAGUUAAAGGCAUUGGCUCAACCAAUGUAUGCUUUGGAAACUGUU
rnacentral:rRNA from 1 species